rnacentral:rRNA from 1 species
UACGUAGGGUGCGAGCGUUAAUCGGAAUUACUGAGCGUAAAGCGUGCGCAGGCGGUUUUGUAAGCCAGAUGUGAAAUCCCCGGGCUCAACCUGGGAAUGGCAUUUGGGACUGCAAGGCUCGAGUGCGGCAGAGGAGACUGGAAUUCCUGGUGUAGCAGUGAAAUGCGUAGAUAUCAGGAGGAAUACCGAUGGCGAAGGCAGGUCUCUGGGCUGACACUGACGCUCAUGCACGAAAGCGUGGGGAGCAAACAGG